GAUGAACGCUGGCGGCGUGCCUAAUACAUGCAGGUCGAGCGAACGGACGAGAAGCUUGCUUCUCUGAUGUUAGCGGCGGACGGGUGAGUAAAACGUGGAUAACCUACCUAUAAGACUGGGAUAACUUCGGGAAACCGGAGCUAAUACCGGAUGAUAUUUUGAACCGCAUGGUUCAAAAGUGAAAGACGGUCUUGCUGUCACUUAUAGAUGGAUCCGCGCUGCAUUAGCUAGUUGGUAAGGUAACGGCUUACCAAGGCAACGAUGCAUAGCCGACCUGAGAGGGUGAUCGGCCACACUGGAACUGAGGCACGGUCCAGACUCCUACGGGAGGCAGCAGUAGGGAAUCUUCCGCAAUGGGCGAAAGCCUGACGGAGCAACGCCGCGUGAGUGAUGAAGGUCUUCGGAUCGUAAAACUCUGUUAUUAGGGAAGAACAUAUGUGUAAGUAACUGUGCACAUCUUGACGGUACCUAAUCAGAAAGCCACGGCUAACUACGUG
rnacentral:rRNA from 1 species